rnacentral:rRNA from 1 species
CUACACGACCGUACCGCAAACCGACACUGGUGCGCGAGAUGAGUAUUCUAAGGCGCUUGAGAGAACUCAGGAGAAGGAACUCGGCAAAUUGACACCGUAACUUCGGAAGAAGGUGUGCCUUUAGUAGGUGAACCUGUACAAGGGGAGCCCAAUGAGGUUGCAAAAAAUCGGUGGCUGCGACUGUUUAAUAAAAACACAGCACUCUGCAAACACGAAAGUGGACGUAUAGGGUGUGACGCCUGCCCGGUGCUGGAAGAUUAAAUGAUGGGGUGCAAGCUCUUGAUUGAAGUCCCAGUAAACGGCCGUAACGAUAACGGUCCUAAGGUAGCGAAAUUCCUUGUCGGGUAAGUUCCGACCUGCACGAAUGGCGUAACGAUGGCCACACUGUCUCCUCCUGAGACUCAGCGAAGUUGAAAUGUUUGUGAUGAUGCAAUCUCCCCGCGGAAAGACGGAAAGACCCCAUGAACCUUUACUGUAGCUUUGUAUUGGACUUUGAACAGAUCUGUGUAGGAUAGGUGGGAGGCUUUGAAGUGUGGUCGCUAGAUCGCAUGGAGCCAACGUUGAAAUACCACCCUGGUGUGUUUGAGGUUCUAACCUAGGCCCGUAAUCCGGGUCGGGGACAGUGCAUGGUAGGCAGUUUGACUGGGGCGGUCUCCUCCCAAAGCGUAACGGAGGAGUUCGAAGGUACGCUAGGUACGGUCGGACAUCGUGCUAAUAGUGCAAUGGCAUAAGCGUGCUUAACUGCGAGACUGACAAGUCGAGCAGAUGCGAAAGCAGGACAUAGUGAUCCGGUGGUUCUGUAUGGAAGGGCCAUCGCUCAACGGAUAAAAGGUACUCUGGGGAUAACAGGCUGAUACCGCCCAAGAGUUCAUAUCGACGGCGGUGUUUGGCACCUCGAUGUCGGCUCAUCUCAUCCUGGGGCUGUAGCCGGUCCCAAGGGUAUGGCUGUUCGCCAUUUAAAGAGGUACGUGAGCUGGGUUUAAAACGUCGUGAGACAGUUUGGUCCCUAUCUUCCGUGGGCGCUGCAGAUUUGAGGAAGCCUGCUCCUAGUACGAGAGGACCGGAGUGGACACACCUCUGGUGUAUCGGUUGUCACGCCAGUGGCAUUGCCGAGUAGCUAUGUGUGGAAGAGAUAACCGCUGAAAGCAUCUAAGCGGGAAACUCGUUUCAAGAUGAGAUCUGCCGGGGCCUUGAGCCCCCUAAAGAGUCGUUCAAGACCAGGACGUUGAUAGGUCGGGUGUGGAAGCGCAGUAAUGCGUUAAGCUAACCGAUACUAAUUGCUCGUGCGGCUUGACCCU